GAUAACUACAUGUGUUUAUUAGAAUUAAGGAGUCAUUUCCUUUACUUCCCUCACAGUCAACCAUUCCCUCCAGCAAAACAAAAUUUCGCCAUCUUUUACCUUCAAGCUCGAUUUCAUAAGGAAUUUCAAGCAAUAGCCACAAUAGUUUGAGAAAAAGGUUAAGUUUGGAUGAAGAUGGAAGUGUGCUGAGCUGGAGCUUUUUGUUUAUGUAAAUAGUAAUAGGCUCAGGAUGUUGUGUCUUCAUACAUAAUGUCCAAUGAUGUACUCCGCUGCAACACUUUAUUUCUCUUAUCACUUUUGACGUGUUGUAGAAUGUUUUAAAACCUUACCCUGUAUAUGAGCUUGAUAACUCUUGGUUAUGAUAUUUAUUUGGUUUAAACUUCUUUUGUUAAAGUUUGAUGGUUAUAUAUGUGAGUUAAUUAUUUAUUUGCCUUA